GGGCGGGUAGCUCAGGGGUAGAGCGGCGCCCUUACAAGGCGUUGGUCGGAGGUUCGAAUCCUCUCUCGCCCACCA
rnacentral:tRNA from 1 species